UGCUCGGAAUCAUUGGGCGUAAAGCGCACGUAGGCGGUUCGUUAUGUCGGAUGUGAAAGCCCCGGGCUCAACCCGGGAAGUGCAUUCGAAACUGGCGCGCUUGAAUAUGGAAGAGGGUCGCGGAAUUCCUGGUGUAGCGGUGAAAUGCGCAGAUAUCAGGAGGAACACCGAUGGCGAAGGCAGGUCGCUGGGCCACUACUGACGCUGAGAAGCGAAAGCAUGGGGAGCGAACAGG
rnacentral:rRNA from 1 species